rnacentral:rRNA from 1 species
CGCCUUAUACUCCUACGGGAGGCAGCAGUGGGGAAUCUUGGACAAUGGGGGAAACCCUGAUCUAGCCAUGCCGCGUGAUCGAUGAAGGCCUUAGGGUUGUAAAGAUCUUUCAGAUGGGAAGAUAAUGACGGUACCAUCAGAAGAAGCCCCGGCUAACUCCGUGCCAGCAGCCGCGGUAAUACGGAGGGGGCUAGCGUUAUUCGGAAUUACUGGGCGUAAAGCGCACGUAGGCGGACUGAAAAGUCAGAGGUGAGAUCCCAGGGCUCAACCUUGGAACUGCCUUUGAAACUCUCAGUCUUGAGGUCGAGAGAGGUGAGUGGAAUUCCGAGUGUAGAGGUGAAAUUCGUAGAUAUUCGGAGGAACACCAGUGGCGAAGGCGGCUCACUGGCUCGAUACUGACGCUGAGGUGCGAAAGCGUGGGGAGCAAACAGGAUUAGAAACCCUGGUAGUCCACGUACCA